rnacentral:rRNA from 1 species
UGAGUGCGAGCUGCUACGGCAGCGAAGUUGGUGACGUCAAGCUUCCAAGAAAAGCCCUAUACCCGUUAAGGCAUCAUGGCCUGUACCCGAAACCGACACAGGUGGGGUGGUAGAGAAUGCCGAGGGGCGCGAGGUAACUCUCUCUAAGGAACUCGGCAAAAUGGCCCCGUAACUUCGGGAGAAGGGGUGCCACCGCAAGGUGGUCGCAGUGAAGAGGCCCAGGCGACUGUUUACCAAAAACACAGGUCUCCGCUAAGUCGCAAGACGAUGUAUGGGGGCUGACGCCUGCCCAGUGCCGGAAGGUUAAGGAAGCUGGUCAGCGCAAGCGAAGCUGGCGACUGAAGCCCCGGUGAACGGCGGCCGUAACAAUAACGGUCCUAAGGUAGCGAAAUUCCUUGUCGGGUAAGUUCCGACCCGCACGAAAGGCGUAACGAUCUGGGCGCUGUCUCGGAGAGAGGCUCGGCGAAAUAGAAUUGUCUGUGAAGAUGCGGACUACGUGCACCCGGACAGAAAGACCCUAUGAAGCUUUACUGUAGCUUGGUAUUGUGCCCGGGCUCUGAAUGCGCAGGAUAGGUGGGAGGCUUUGAUCAUCGGCUUGCGGGUCGAUGUGAGCCAACGGUGAGAUACCACUCUUUCAGAGCUAGGGUUCUAACAGUCACCCGUUAUCCGGGGACUGGACAGUAUCAGGUGGGCAGUUUGACUGGGGCGGUCGCCUCCUAAAAGGUAACGGAGGCGCGCAAAGGUCUGCUCUGGCUGGUUGAAAUCAGCCGACGAGUGUAAAAGCAGAAGCAGGCUUGACUGUGAGACCUACAAGUCGAACAGGGAGGAAACUCGGCUUUAGUGAUCCGACGGUUCUGCGUGGAAGGGCCGUCGCUCAACGGAUAAAAGUUACUCUAAGGAUAACAGGCUGAUCUCUCCCAAGAGUUCACAUCGACGGGGAGGUUUGGCACCUCGAUGUCGGCUCAUCGCAACCUGGGGCUGAAGUCGGUCCCAAGGGUUGGGCUGUUCGCCCAUUAAAGCGGUACGCGAGCUGGGUUCAGAACGUCGUGAGACAGUUCAGUCCAUAUCCGGUGCAUGCGCAGGAAUAUUGAGAGGAGUUCUCCCUAGUACGAGAGGACCGGGAGGAACGCACCUCUGGUGUACCAGUUAUCGUUCCAACGGUAAACGCUGGGUAGCCAUGUGCGGAGAGGAUAACCGCUGAAAGCAUCUAAGUGGGAAGCCCACCUCAAGAUGAGUAUUCCCAUGGCGUUAGCCAGUAAGGUCACGGGAAGAACACCCGUUGAUAGGCUCUAUGUGGAAGCGCAGUAAUGCGUGAAGCAGAGGAGUACUAAUAGACCGAGGGCUUGAU